rnacentral:rRNA from 1 species
GAUAAACGCUGGCGGCGUGCGUAACACAUGCAAGUCGAACGAGUGGCGGAUGGGUGAGUAACGCGUAAGAAACCUGCCUUUCACACCGGGAUAGCAGCUGGAAACGGCUAUUAAUACCGGAUGGUGAAAGAUGGUGUUGCGUCUGAUUAGCUAGUUGGUGUGGUAACGGCCUACCACGGCGACGAUCAGUAGCCGGCCUGUGAGGCUGUACGGCGACAUUGGGACUGAGAAACGGUCCGAACUCCUACGGGAUGGAGCAGUGGGGAAUUUUGCACUAUGGAGGAUACUCUGAUGCAGCGAGGCCGGGUGAACAAAGAAGGUCUUCGGAUUGUAAAGUUCGGUCCUGGGUGAAGCGGUAACUCAGGAGGAAGCCCCGGCUAACUACGUGCCAGCAGCCGCGGUAAUAC